AAUUUAAAACUUAUAUUUUGUUUUAUAAUGCUUUUAUCUUUUAAGGUGGUACCUAACACUACAGGGAGAUAACUCUGUAAAAUCAGCUAAACGUUUUAAUUACGUUGUGCUUUAAGGGAAUAUUAAGAUUCUCAAUUAUCAAAAUAAGUAUUUGUCAAACUGCUAUAUAACCAGUGUAAUUUUUCCGAUAAAACGGUUGGUUCAAAUUUUUUGAAAUUUUUAUAUUUUUGUCAAAGAGUCAAAGUAAAUACUUUUUCAAAAUUUUAUGAAAAUUAAACGAGCCAAAUUAAUUUUAGUGAAGGUGUUGGGUACCACCUUAAAAGACUUGUAGUAGUUACAGUUAAGCACACAGCAAAACAGAUGUUUUCAUCCUCAUUGUUUUCAACACUUUAAAUAACCAAGUUUUUAAAGUUAUGUGAUUGACACCUUGUAAUGGGUCCUCGACAACUCUAAACUGCAGCAAGAUGGCAGAUUAUCAGCAUGAGAGAAGCAGGGAUGUCGCUGAAACAACUGCACGUAUUUUUGGUCAUCACCAUUCCACUAUAAGUCGUUUUGAGAAUAAAAAUAAUGCACUAAACGAUGUUAAAGACCUUCCGAGAUAAAGAAGACCCCCUAUACCAUUUGCUAGGGAAAAUCAAGCAUAAUGAAGGUUGGUCAGAAGGAAACCCAUUGCAUACAAUACAAUCCUAAAAAGAGAGUGGUGGGCAUACAGGAGCCUUUUAACAAGAACUGUUCGAAAUCGACUCAUCGCUACUGGUUAUCGUGCGAUAAGACCAUUUCGGAGACCUUUGCUUACGAACAGACACACAGUUUUCCGUAUCCAAUGUAGUGCAGAGCUCGCUAAAGUUGAAAAUUAGCAUCGUGGAGGAAGAUCCAUUGUUUCAAUGGAAUUCGGUUCAUCUUCCUUGGACGGACCGUAGCCCGGCUUUGAACCAUAUCGAGCAUAUAUGGGACACUAUUGGGCGAAGCGUUGCGCGAAAGGACACCCCAGUUCAAACACAUCAUGAAAUAAACAAUGCCCUUCAUCAGAAAUGGUUGCUGCUACCUUAGCAACAAAUUAGUCGAUUUUUGGCAGGAAUCAGAAGACGUUUAGAUGCGGUUAUCCGUUUGAAUGGAGGCUGCGCACAAAGUACUAAUUCUUUGGCGUAUAACGAUCAACCAUGAUGUGAACAGUCAUCUGAAGAUUAAUUUUGAAAUGUCUGACAUUGUAAAGUUCGACUACAGUAAAAGUUGUAAAAUGCAUUUUUUUGUACGAAAAAACACUUCAUUUUGUUAUUAAAAUUGUGAUUAUAUAAAUCAUUUUUUUUUUCAAACAUUUUUUGUUCGUUUCAAUGCCAAUGUUAUCAUAAACUAUGUUUCAAUAAUA
rnacentral:lncRNA from 1 species